rnacentral:rRNA from 1 species
CGAACGAAGCAAUUAAGAUGAAGUUUUCGGAUGGAAUCUUGAUUGACUGAGUGGCGGACGGGUGAGUAACGCGUGGAUAACCUGCCUCACACUGGGGGAUAACAGUUAGAAAUGACUGCUAAUACCGCAUAAGCGCACAGUGCCGCAUGGCAGUGUGUGAAAAACUCCGGUGGUGUGAGAUGGAUCCGCGUCUGAUUAGCCAGUUGGCGGGGUAACGGCCCACCAAAGCGACGAUCAGUAGCCGACCUGAGAGGGUGACCGGCCACAUUGGGACUGAGACACGGCCCAAACUCCUACGGGAGGCAGCAGUGGGGAAUAUUGCACAAUGGGCGAAAGCCUGAUGCAGCGACGCCGCGUGAGUGAAGAAGUAUUUCGGUAUGUAAAGCUCUAUCAGCAGGGAAGAAAAUGACGGUACCUGACUAAGAAGCCCCGGCUAACUACGUGCCAGCAGCCGCGGUAAUACGUAGGGGGCAAGCGUUAUCCGGAUUUACUGGGUGUAAAGGGAGCGUAGACGGCGAAGCAAGUCUGAAGUGAAAACCCAGGGCUCAACCCUGGGACUGCUUUGGAAACUGUUUUGCUAGAGUGUCGGAGAGGUAAGUGGAAUUCCUAGUGUAGCGGUGAAAUGCGUAGAUAUUAGGAGGAACACCAGCGGCGAAG